rnacentral:lncRNA from 1 species
AUAAGACGAAGUUAGUUAAGUAAUUUUAUUUGUAAAAUUUUAUAGUAGACAAUAGAGUAGUGGAGAGUGUAGUAUAUAAUGACGUGUCAAUUUAUUAUGGAAGAGUGCAAUGUUACAGUUGUUAUAAUAAGGGACGUUUGAGUGAGAGGGUACUGUGAGUGUUGUGAGUGUUGCUGGUGAAAGGGUACUACUCCAUUAUGCAGGCUAUUUUCUUUUGUUACUUUGUUUUUUUAUAUCAAUGAAUUAAUUUAAGUUUGUUGUUGAUGGUAUGUGCAGAGAUCAGUGAGAACUUCUCCUCAUUUUGUUGAACCUACACACUGUUUGUUUCUCCCGUUCUCAGGUAAUCCCCGUUCUUUUUCUUUUUUUAAAUUUUUUUAUUUGAUUUUUUAUAUAUAUCAAAACUCAAACACAGAAGAAUGCACAAAAUGAAACAAAUUCAUUACUAAUCAUCAAAGUUCAUUGCUACUAACAUAACGUAAGUAGCAAAUAACUUCGUAUAUAUAAUAUAUACGAAAAACAAUUUUCUACAUCUUAUUUUUUUGGUUUGGAUGAAUCUAAAUUAUACUGCGAACAUUCUCUGAUAAUUUAUAAUUUGUAUAAAAUUAAAUUAGAUUAAUAAUUAGUAACAAAUGAUUUCUUAAAAAUGAUUUAUUUAUAGAAUUAACAUGAAAAUAAUAAUAUGAUUUAUAUAAGAGAUGAUAUAUUGACAAAUAAUCAUUUAAAAUUAUAUAUGAGAUUUUUAUAUAUUAAAAAAAAGAAAAUAAAAACAUUAUGUUUUUAAAUAAGACGAAGUUAGUUAAGUAAUUUUAUUUGUAAAUUUUAUAGUAGACAAUAGAGUAGUGGAGAGUGUAGUAUAUAAUGACGUGUCAAUUUAUUAUUGGAAGAGUGCAAUGUUACAAGUUGUUAUAAUAAGGGACGUUUGAGUGAGAGGGUACUGUGAGUGUGUGGAGUGUUGCUGGGUGAAAGGGUACUACCUCCAUUAUGCAGGCUAUUUUCUUUUGUUACUUUGUUUUUUUUAUUCAAUGAAUUAAUUUAAGUUUGUUGUUGAUGUAUGUGCAGAGAUCAGUGAGAACUUCUCCUCAUUUUUGUUGAACCUACACACUGUUUGUUUCUCCCGUUCUCAGGUAAUCCCGUUCUUUUUCUUUUUUUUAAAUUUUUUUAUUUGAUUUUUUAUAUAUAUCAAAACUCAAACACAGAAGAAUGCACAAAAUGAAACAAAUUCAUUACUAAUCAUCAAGUUCAUUGCUACUAACAUAACGUAAGUAGCAAUAACUUCGUAUAUAUAUAUAUAUACACGAAAAAACAAUUUUCUACAUCUUAUUAUUUUUGGUUUGGAUGAAUCUAAAUUUACUGCGAACAUUCUCUGAUAAUUUAUAAUUUGUAUAAAAUUAAAUUAGAUUAAUAAUUAGUAACAAAUGAUUUCUUAAAAAUGAUUUAUUUAUAGAAUUAACAUGAAAAUAAUAAUAUGAUUUAUAUAAGAGAUGAUAUAUUGACAAAUAAUCAUUUAAAAUUAUAUAUGAGAUUUUUAUAUAUUAAAAAAAAGAAAAUAAAAAACAUUAUGCUUUUUAAAAUAAGACGAAGUUAGUUAAGUAAUUUUAUUUGUAAAAUUUUAUAGUAGACAAUAGAGUAGUGGAGAGUGUAGUAUAUAAUGACGUGUCAUUUAUUAUUGGAAGAGUGCAAUGUUACAAGUUGUUAUAAUAAGGGACGUUUGAGUGAGGGUACUGUGAGUGUUGUGAGUGUUGCUGGGUGAAAGGGUACUACCUCCAUUAUGCAGGCUAUUUUCUUUUGUUACUUUGUUUUUUUAUAUCAAUGAAUUAAUUUAAGUUUGUUGUUGAUGGUAUGUGCAGAGAUCAGUGAGAACUUCUCCUCAUUUUGUUGAACCUACACACUGUUUGUUUCUCCGUUCUCAGGUAAUCCCCGUUCUUUUUCUUUUUUUUAAAUUUUUUUAUUUGAUUUUUUAUAUAUAUCAAAACUCAAACACAGAGAAAUGCACAAAUGAAACAAUUCAUUACUAAUCAUCAAAGUUCAUUGCUACUAAACAUAACGUAAGUAGCAAUAACUUCGUAUAUUAUAUAUACACGAAAAACAAUUUUCUACAUCUUAUUAUUUUUGGAUUGGAUGAAUCUAAAUUAUACUGCGACAUUCUCUGAUAAUUUAUAAUUUGUAUAAAAUUAAAUUAGAUUAAUAAUUAGUAACAAAUGAUUUCUUAAAAUGAUUUAUUUAUAGAAUUACAUGAAAAUAAUAAUAUGAUUUAUAUAAGAGAUGAUAUAUUGACAAAUAAUCAUUUAAAUAUAUAUGAGAUUUUUAUAUAUUAAAAAAAGAAAAUAAAAAACAUUAUGCUUUUUAAAAUAAGACGAAGUUAGUUAAGUAAUUUUAUUUGUAAUUUUUAUAGUAGACAAUAGAGUAGUGGAGAGUGUAGUAUAUAAUGACGUGUCAAUUUAUUAUUGGAAGAGUGCAAUGUUACAAGUUGUUAUAAUAAGGGACGUUUGAGUGAGAGGGUACUGUGAGUGUUGUGAGUGUUGCUGGGUGAAAGGGUACUACCUCCAUUAUGCAGGCUAUUUUCUUUUGUUACUUUGUUUUUUUAUAUCAAUGAAUUAAUUUAAGUUUGUUGUUGAUGGUAUGUGCAGAGAUCAGUGAGAACUUCUCCUCAUUUUGUUGAACCUACACACUGUUUGUUUCUCCCGUUCUCAGGUAUCCCCCGUUCUUUUUCUUUUUUUUAAAUUUUUUUAUUUGAUUUUUAUAUAUAUCAAACUCAAACACAGAAGAAUGCACAAAAUGAAACAAAUUCAUUACUAAUCACAAAGUUCAUUGCUACUAAACAUAACGUAAGUAGCAAAUAACUUCGUAUAUAUAUAUAUAACACGAAAAAAACAAUUUUCUACAUCUUAUUAUUUUUGGAUUGGAUGAAUCUAAAUUAUACUGCGAACAUUCUCUGAUAAUUAUAAUUUGUAUAAAAUUAAAUUAGAUUAAUAAUUAGUAACAAUGAUUUCUAAAAAUGAUUUAUUUAUAGAAUUAACAUGAAAAUAAUAAUAUGAUUUAUAUAAGAGAUGAUAUAUUGACAAAUAAUCAUUUAAAAUUAUAUAUGAGAUUUUUAUAUAUUAAAAAAAAGAAAUAAAAACAUUAUGCUUUUUAAAAUAAGACGAAGUUAGUUAAGUAAUUUUAUUUGUAAAAUUUUAUAGUAGACAAUAGAGUAGUGGAGAGUGUAGUAUAUAAGACGUGUCAAUUUAUUAUUGGAAGAGUGCAAUGUUACAGUUGUUAUAAUAAGGGACGUUUGAGUGAGAGGGUACUGUGAGUGUUGUGAGUGUUGCUGGGUGAAAGGGUACUACCUCCAUUAUGCAGGCUAUUUUCUUGUACUUUGUUUUUUUAUAUCAAUGAAUUAAUUAAGUUGUUUGUUGAUGGUAUGUGCAGAGAUCAGUGAGAACUUCUCCUCAUUUUGUUGAACCUACACACUGUUUGUUUCUCCCGUUCUCAGGUAAUCCCCGUUCUUUUUCUUUUUUAAAUUUUUUUAUUUGAUUUUUUAUAUAUAUCAAAAUCAACACAGAAGAAUGCACAAAAUGAAACAAAUUCAUUACUAAUCAUCAAGUUCAUUGCUACUAAACAUAACGUAAGUAGCAAAUAACUUCGUAUAUAUAUAUACACGAAAAAACAAUUUUCUACAUCUUAUUAUUUUUGGAUUGGAUGAAUCUAAAUUAUACUGCGAACAUUCUCUGAUAAUUUAUAAUUUGUAUAAAAUUAAUUAGAUUAAUAUUAGUAACAAAUGAUUUCUUAAAAAUGAUUUAUUUAUAGAAUUAACAUGAAAAUAAUAAUAUGAUUUAUAUAAGAGAUGUAUAUUGACAAAUAAUCAUUUAAAAUAUAUAUGAGAUUUUUAUAUAUUAAAAAAAAGAAAAUAAAACAUUAUGCUUUUUAAAAUAAGACGAAGUUAGUUAAGUAAUUUUAUUUGUAAAAUUUUAUAGUAGACAUAGAGUAGUGGAGAGUGUAGUAUAUAAUGACGUGUCAAUUUAUUAUUGGAAGAGUGCAAUGUUACAAGUUGUUAUAAUAAGGGACGUUUGAGUGAGAGGGUACUGUGAGUGUUGUGAGUGUUGCUGGGUGAAAGGGUACUACCUCCAUUAUGCAGGCUAUUUUCUUUUGUUACUUUGUUUUUUUAUAUCAAUGAAU